rnacentral:rRNA from 1 species
AGUGAACGCUGGCGGCGUGCCUAACACAUGCAAGUCGAGCGGAGUACUAGCUGUAGCAAUACAGUAAGUACUCAGCGGCAGACGGGUGAGUAAUACGUAGACAACUUACCUCUUAGCGGGGGAUAGCCCACCGAAAGGUGGGGUAAUACCGCGUACGAUUGAGAUUCGGCAUCGGAUUUCAAUGAAACAUCCGCAAGGAUGGCUAAGGGAAGGGUCUGCGGCCUAUCAGCUAGUUGGUGAGGUAACGGCUCACCAAGGCUACGACGGGUAACCGACCUGAAAGGGUGAUCGGUCACACUGACACUGAGACACGGGUCAGACUCCUACGGGAGGCAGCAGUGAGGAAUUUUGGACAAUGAGGGAAACCCUGAUCCAGCGACGCCGCGUGAAGGAUGAAGGUCUUCGGAUUGUAAACUUCUUUUGUCUGGGAAUAAGAAACCCGUGGAAACACGGGGAGUGAAUGUACCAGGCGAAUAAGCCACGGCUAACUUCGUGCCAGCAGCCGCGGU